UAGAUCUGAGUAUAUCAAUAUUACCUUGUUCAGAACUUAAAGAGAAAUCUUGAGUUUAUGGACUUCAGGGGGAGUAUGGUCACAAGGCUGAAACUUAAAGGAAUUGACGGAAGGGCACACCAGGAGUGGAGCCUGCGGCUUAAUUUGACUCAACACGGGAAAACUUACCAAGACCGAACAGUAGAAGGAAUGACAGAUUAAGAGUUCUUUCAUGAUUUAUUGGGUAGUGGUGCAUGGCCGUUCUUAGUUGGUGGAGUGAUUUGUCAGGUUAAUUCCGGUAACGAACGAGACUGAAACCUAUUAAUUAGUUUUCUGCCUAUAAGACAGAAAUGUUCGCAAGAACAGGUGCGUAAGUACCACUUCUUAAAGGGACACAUUUCAAUUGUCCUAUUUUAAUUGUAGUUAUCUAAUUUC
rnacentral:rRNA from 1 species